rnacentral:misc_RNA from 1 species
GGUUGGAUCAUUAAUAAAUUACAGAAUGCGCUUGUCCAAAAGACAGCGUAGUCUAUACAUUUUUGUGAACUGUUUAUGUCUCUGGUGGGUUAACAGUAUAUCUUAUGGUAUAUGGCCUAUGGUCACCCACCACAAAUUUGAACCUUGUAGAAACAUUAGUCAUUAAAAGUUAAAUUAUAAUCUAAUACAACUUUUGGCAACGGAUCUCUAGGCUCUCGCAACGAUGAAGAACGCAGCGAAAUGCGAUAAGUAAUGUGAAUUGCAAAAUUCCGUGAAUCAUCAAAUCUUUGAACGCACAUUGCGCUCUAUGUAUUCCGUAGAGCAUGCCUGUUUGAGAAUCAGUUUAAAUCUCAUACUAUUUCUUAGGGAAUAUUGUAUGGACUUGGACUAUCUUUCAUAGGAUAGACCUUAAAUUGAUCUGUGGCCUUGGCUAUACUCCAUUGGAUUGAAAGGCAUGAUUACUCCCUCGGGAACUAGUGCUCAUUAAGAUUCUCUGGUUAUUGCUAUAUGGGUCCAAAAUGUUUACGAAGGCCUAGCCUUUAAGACUUGAUCUCAAAUCAGGCAAGACUACCCGCUGAACUUAAGCAUAUCAAUAAGCGGAGGAAAGAAACUAACAAGGAUUCCCCUAGUAACGGCGAGUGAAGCGGGAAUAGUCAAAUUUGAAAUCUCACAGGUUCCCUGUGCGAAUUGUAGUUUAAAGAAGUAUUUUCGGGACCCCUCCAGGCUUAAGUCUUUUGGGAUAAAGCAUCACAGAGGGUGAGAAUCCCGUAUGUGGUUUGGAUAGGGUCCUAUGUGAUAUACUUUCAAAGAGUCGGAUUGUUUGGGAAUGCAGUCCAAAAUGGGUGGUAAAUACCAUCUAAGCUAAAUAUUGGCGAGAGACCGAUAGCGAACAAGUACCGUGAGGGAAAGAUGAAAAGAACUUUGAAAAGAGAGUUAAAAGUACGUGAAAUUGCCAAAAGGGAAACACUUGAAACCAGUCUUGGGGUGCGAAUCCCAACUAUCCUAACGGAUAGCAUAUGAUUCGCCUUCCAGGUCAACAUCGGUUUUGCCCGACGUAUAAAGCCUUGGAAGGUGGCCCCUCUCGGGGGGUGUUAUAGCCCAAGGUCCUGCGUUGAGCAAGACCGAGGUUCGCAGUGCAGUCUUGGGGAACCGGAAGCUAGUUGAUGCCAAUUGCUAGACUACUUGUAGACUAGUGACGGGAUAAGGCUAAUCUUUCGGCUUACCACACCUGUGCUUAGGAUGUUGACAAAAUGGUUUUAAGUGACCCGUUCUUGAAAACACGGACCAAGGAGUCUAACACAUAUGCGAGUCUUUGGGUGCUAAACCCAUAGGCGCAAUGAAAGUAUUAAGGUGUGAUCCGCAAGGUGCAGCAUCGACCGGUCUGGACCUAUUGAGAUAGAUCUGAGUAAGAGCAUAUUUGUUGGGACCCGAAAGAUGGUGAACUAUGCCUGAAUGGGGUGAAGCCAGAGGAAACUCUGGUGGAGGCUCGUAGCGAUUCUGACGUGCAAAUCGAUCGUCGAAUUUGGGGUAUAGGGGCGAAAGACUAAUCGAACCAUCUAGUAGCUGGUUCCCUC